UUCUGACAAAAUAAGGCCCUCAUUCGGCAGAGCACUUCAAUUGAAUUGGAUUCAGUGUGGUUACUCACUUAAAUAUUUGCUGAUUUGGGGGCGUAAGAGAAUAAUCCAUUAUUUACAGAUAUAGCAAAAGGGACUGUGAAUAUGCUGAUCAAAAAAAGAGCUUCCCGUAGGAGCUCCAUAAUAAUGAAAUAAAGACCUCUAGUUUCACACACCGAAAUUGGCUUCUGUGCAAAGAAUAGCAGCAGUGUGCCCAUAUUCCAGCUUCUGAGUCUGAUCUAUUUCAAGUAUUAUGUUGGGUGAUUGGACUGUGUUGCAUUGUUGGACCUGGUUUGGAAGUAUAAAGUGGACACCAUAUCACCUUCAUCUCAAGGCUGUCGAUGGAUCACUUUAUUUUCUCUGAUGGAUCAACAAUCUGUCUAAGGUAUCUAUAUCACCCCUAUUACCAUGGUAACUGGGAGCCUCACAAUCAUUAAUAUAUUUAUGUUCACAACAUCCCUGAGAGGAUGUUCCCAUUUUACAGAUCGGGAACUGAGGCACAGAAAGACCAAGUCAGUUGUCCAAGGUCAUAUGGGAGCAGUGAAUUGAACCCAGCAUCCUAAGAGAGGCUGUAGCCUGGUGCCCCACUGAACAUGGGUUGUUCUUUGGCCCCUUGUGGAAGACAGGCAGGAUAUGACUUCACCGCCUCACAUUCUCAUCAUCUUGGAAGUGAUAUGUACCAUCUGGUUGUAUGUGCUCCCCUGAGUGCAGGAACUGCUACUGGGGCUUUUGUAAAAGUGUGCAACUUCUGGGAGGAACUCCUGUGACCCUCAAUCACACCAUGCUCCUGUGUGAGGGCCAGUCCCAGUGUUACCCUGUGUAUCUACCUGGCCUUUUGCAUAAAUAAUUGUGCUAACUACAAUUGUUGUAAUUGUGGAGAUUAGGUAUAUGCCACUUAGGCCCUUAGAGUGCCGGCACUCCAUUUUUGGUUGUUUUCUUCAGUCAGAAUUGUACAUGUAUGGACAG